AUUUGCUGUAUUAUAGUAAUGAUGAGUCUUCAAAGAUUAUGAUCAGUGACUUUGGAUUGUCAAAGAUUGAAGAUUCAGGUACUAUGGCAACAGCAUGUGGAACACCUGGCUAUGUUGCACCUGAAAUUCUAGCUCAACAGCCUUAUGGAAAAGAAGUGGAUUGUUGGUCUAUAGGUGUUAUAGCUUAUAUUUUAUUUAUGUGAGACAAUGAGAGAGGAAGAUGAAAGACAGAUGAGUAAAACACGCCUAUGUUACAACAACAGAUCAACAAAACAGUUAUCGCUCUGUCAAAAUGUCUACAGGCCGAAUCUGCUGCCACUGCUUGGUGGGAACAGCCAGGGCAGAGAUGAAAAUGCAGUGUUUUCCCCUUGGCC